GUAAACGGUUACAAUACGCUAAUAUCGCAAUGGGUAUGAUAUACACGAAGGCAUGAUUCCGCCCCGCUCAAAUGCUCUUGGCGUAAGUACUACGGAUUUGACAGUGAUAUGGGAGAAAAUACGUAACACAAAGAAAGAGAGAGAGAGAGAGAGAGAGGUCCUGCAGGUAAGGGAUAGCGGGAAUGGAAGAUAAAGUAUUACUGAUCAUAAAUCGUGAGAUAUAAUAUUUAUAGUGUUUAUGAGAAACGCUGUGAAUAUGAACAUAUAGAUAUGCACUUACAUAAAUGCCAUUAGAAUGUAUGAACAAUUAUUACUUUGUCUCAGGGAAUGAUUGUGGUAGAUUUAUUAUCGUGCCAGUGUAGAAUAAUCUAUGGAAAAUAGUGUCGUCACGUAACUGUAAUGAAUAUUAAAUGUAGCUUUGAAAGAAGACUUACGUCCUUAUGCAAGCUACAAUGGAACUGUACGAAUGCAGACAAAUUUUCAGUACAGUGUUACUAUCCAUGACCUACGGUGUAGUGAUACGUGUUGAAUCAAUUUGGAUUUUUAUCAAUAAAAAAAGAAACCCUGUUUCCUUAAUCGAUUGAGCGCUAAGUUAAGUACAAGUGUAUUUACGUCUAGAAGGACACAACGUCUGUUACAACAACCAUGGCAGCUCUUUGGAUACUGUGCUACAUUGCUGCUGCAUUUUUAUUCUUCUAUUAUCACAUUACAUGGAAUGAAAGUUUAUGAAAUGAAAGUGAUAUUACCAAAUCCCAAUCAACAUUCACUUUUAUCAAUAUAAAACACGUGAUGUUUUGACAGAUGUCAUAUUGCAUUCUCUUCGAAAAAUAUUGACUAAAAUAAAGUAUAACGUUUUCUUGAUAUAUUUACCAGAAUCACAGUUGCUCCAAUUUUGUAUGAUCUUGAACCAAUAAGGGAUGCAUCUAUCACGGACUUUGCAGUCAUUGUUUAAAAAGUUUCCGAUUAAUCCGAAACUUAAUGAUUCCUUCAUCGAGUCCAAAAAGCACGUCAUCGAUCACUGAAAAAAUAACGUUGUCAGGCAUGAUUUCAACGAACCUCUCAUGGAGAUCAAAUAAUAUACUGAAAUCAUUAAUGAUGAUUUUCAAAGACUUGUAAACCAAUCAUUUUUAAUAUUGAAUAGAUUUUUAAUAUUCGUAAUGUAAGUCAUUUGUUAAGAUAUAUUGUUAAAUAGGUAAGUAAAUAAAGACCCAUUAGGAUAGUUCGUAGAAAUAGUCGUCGAAGUGAAUCCAAACUACUACAAGAACUACCUUAAGUGUCUAAUAAAUCAUCGUUCGAUACGUGUAGAUCCAAGUCAUUAAUAGGCCAUUGUUUCCAUAUGACAGGUAUUGACUUUAGUGUAUUUUGUAGGUCACUAACAGUUCUUCUUAUUGCCCUGAUGUCGAUAUAAACACACGAUACAUCAGCUGCUUCGACAUACUAAAUCGUAACUAGCACAGUACUGAUAAGAAAUACAAUAAUCUAACGUAUAUUGACCCAGCUGGACUGCGUGCACCAUUGACUGGUCAAGUUUUGAUAAUUAGAGCUAUCUACAUAGCCUUUGUAAAUAUUCCGAUACCUUCCGUAUUGGCUCCAACAAUAUAUCUACUGUAUUAUAGUCAACUUUUAACGAUCCAUAAAAUUAUCAUUAUAUUACCAAUAAGAUAUACGUCUUUUAAGUGAACUCGUAAGAAAUAAAGAUUUAAAAAAUA